GGUUAAGCGACUAAGCGUACACGGUGGAUGCCCUGGCAGUCAGAGGCGAUGAAGGACGUGCUAAUCUGCGAUAAGCGUCGGUGAGGUGAUAUGAACCGUUAUAACCGGCGAUUUCCGAAUGGGGAAACCCAGUGUGUUUCGACACACUAUCAUUAACUGAAUCCAUAGGUUAAUGAGGCGAACCGGGGGAACUGAAACAUCUAAGUACCCCGAGGAAAAGAAAUCAACCGAGAUUCCCCCAGUAGCGGCGAGCGAACGGGGAGGAGCCCAGAGCCUGAAUCAGUGUGUGUGUUAGUGGAAGCGUCUGGAAAGGCGUGCGAUACAGGGUGACAGCCCCGUACACAAAAAUGCACAUAUUGUGAGCUCGAUGAGUAGGGCGGGACACGUGGUAUCCUGUCUGAAUAUGGGGGGACCAUCCUCCAAGGCUAAAUACUCCUGACUGACCGAUAGUGAACCAGUACCGUGAGGGAAAGGCGAAAAGAACCCCGGCGAGGGGAGUGAAAAAGAACCUGAAACCGUGUACGUACAAGCAGUGGGAGCCUCUUAAUGGGGUGACUGCGUACCUUUUGUAUAAUGGGUCAGCGACUUAUAUUCUGUAGCAAGGUUAACCGAAUAGGGGAGCCGAAGGGAAACCGAGUCUUAACUGGGCGUUAAGUUGCAGGGUAUAGACCCGAAACCCGGUGAUCUAGCCAUGGGCAGGUUGAAGGUUGGGUAACACUAACUGGAGGACCGAACCGACUAAUGUUGAAAAAUUAGCGGAUGACUUGUGGCUGGGGGUGAAAGGCCAAUCAAACCGGGAGAUAGCUGGUUCUCCCCGAAAGCUAUUUAGGUAGCGCCUCGUGAAUUCAUCUCCGGGGGUAGAGCACUGUUUCGGCAAGGGGGUCAUCCCGACUUACCAACCCGAUGCAAACUGCGAAUACCGGAGAAUGUUAUCACGGGAGACACACGGCGGGUGCUAACGUCCGUCGUGAAGAGGGAAACAACCCAGACCGCCAGCUAAGGUCCCAAAGUCAUGGUUAAGUGGGAAACGAUGUGGGAAGGCCCAGACAGCCAGGAUGUUGGCUUAGAAGCAGCCAUCAUUUAAAGAAAGCGUAAUAGCUCACUGGUCGAGUCGGCCUGCGCGGAAGAUGUAACGGGGCUAAACCAUGCACCGAAGCUGCGGCAGCGACACUAUGUGUUGUUGGGUAGGGGAGCGUUCUGUAAGCCUGUGAAGGUGGCCUGUGAGGGUUGCUGGAGGUAUCAGAAGUGCGAAUGCUGACAUAAGUAACGAUAAAGCGGGUGAAAAGCCCGCUCGCCGGAAGACCAAGGGUUCCUGUCCAACGUUAAUCGGGGCAGGGUGAGUCGACCCCUAAGGCGAGGCCGAAAGGCGUAGUCGAUGGGAAACAGGUUAAUAUUCCUGUACUUGGUGUUACUGCGAAGGGGGGACGGAGAAGGCUAUGUUGGCCGGGCGACGGUUGUCCCGGUUUAAGCGUGUAGGCUGGUUUUCCAGGCAAAUCCGGAAAACCAAGGCUGAGGCGUGAUGACGAGGCACUACGGUGCUGAAGCGACAAAUGCCCUGCUUCCAGGAAAAGCCUCUAAGCAUCAGGUAACAUCAAAUCGUACCCCAAACCGACACAGGUGGUCAGGUAGAGAAUACCAAGGCGCUUGAGAGAACUCGGGUGAAGGAACUAGGCAAAAUGGUGCCGUAACUUCGGGAGAAGGCACGCUGAUAUGUAGGUGAAGCGACUUGCUCGUGGAGCUGAAAUCAGUCGAAGAUACCAGCUGGCUGCAACUGUUUAUUAAAAACACAGCACUGUGCAAACACGAAAGUGGACGUAUACGGUGUGACGCCUGCCCGGUGCCGGAAGGUUAAUUGAUGGGGUUAGCGGUAACGCGAAGCUCUUGAUCGAAGCCCCGGUAAACGGCGGCCGUAACUAUAACGGUCCUAAGGUAGCGAAAUUCCUUGUCGGGUAAGUUCCGACCUGCACGAAUGGCGUAAUGAUGGCCAGGCUGUCUCCACCCGAGACUCAGUGAAAUUGAACUCGCUGUGAAGAUGCAGUGUACCCGCGGCAAGACGGAAAGACCCCGUGAACCUUUACUAUAGCUUGACACUGAACAUUGAGCCUUGAUGUGUAGGAUAGGUGGGAGGCUUUGAAGUGUGGACGCCAGUCUGCAUGGAGCCGACCUUGAAAUACCACCCUUUAAUGUUUGAUGUUCUAACGUUGGCCCGUAAUCCGGGUUGCGGACAGUGUCUGGUGGGUAGUUUGACUGGGGCGGUCUCCUCCUAAAGAGUAACGGAGGAGCACGAAGGUUGGCUAAUCCUGGUCGGACAUCAGGAGGUUAGUGCAAUGGCAUAAGCCAGCUUGACUGCGAGCGUGACGGCGCGAGCAGGUGCGAAAGCAGGUCAUAGUGAUCCGGUGGUUCUGAAUGGAAGGGCCAUCGCUCAACGGAUAAAAGGUACUCCGGGGAUAACAGGCUGAUACCGCCCAAGAGUUCAUAUCGACGGCGGUGUUUGGCACCUCGAUGUCGGCUCAUCACAUCCUGGGGCUGAAGUAGGUCCCAAGGGUAUGGCUGUUCGCCAUUUAAAGUGGUACGCGAGCUGGGUUUAGAACGUCGUGAGACAGUUCGGUCCCUAUCUGCCGUGGGCG
rnacentral:rRNA from 1 species